UAAGCCCCGCCUUCUGGCCCUACUCCCAAGCUUAGCUAAUCCCAAUGGGUUCCGUAGCAAAAGUGGACAGGUCACCAAAUGCGGAAGCAACCAAUGGCAGCAAGCUUAGCCAAAUGAGGGCUUGUUUAUGAGACCUCUUGCUCUUGGGAUGGCGGAAGCCAAUGCCCUCUCGGGGCGCAGCUGAUGCGGCUCUCCACAAUAAUUAUCUCUUCUUGCUUCAUACUAAAUACUCACCAAAAUCAAGUAAAAGGACAAUGUCUUUUUUUUCUAUAUUGAAAUUUGAAAAUGCAUUAUAAGGAUAUGAUUCAUGGUUAAAGGAUUUCAUGUAAUUAAUAAAUCAUGGGUUUGACUUCCUAGCUAAAGGAAAAAAGGAGAGUAGAGAAUGGAGAGAGACUUUUAUUCCUUCUUCACAUCAUUUUAAUUAAUCAUUAAUCUGAAAAUAAAAUAUAUGAUUUUAUUAAUUCAUAAACCAUCCACAAAAGAAAAGUAGACAUUGUAUGCUCACUUAGAGAAACAAACGGGUGAGCAUUCUCCAGGAGCUCUCAUAACAGUGCCUGUUUUGUUGCUUUUAGAGAGUGACUUACUCUACAGUCCAGGCCAGACUUGAACUCACCUAAGUGCUGAUGUAACAGGCAUGAGUCAAUACUCAUGCCCUCUUCAUUCUAACAGACAGUUGACUUGGUAAUAGAUAAGUGCUAAGAGGAAACUUCACAAGUUUCCUGACCAAGGAGUCUCCAAACUCUCCCACAACAUGGACCAUCCAUCCUUGCAUUGCAGAAGAAUUUUAAUCCAGCAGCAGGGAUGCUCUGGCAAGGGAUCACAUCCAAAGACCUUCUAGGUCUGUGAUCCAGCUGGAAUGCAGACCUGUUGUGGAUUACGGUAUGAUCUGGCUGGAGUACACACCUGUAACACCUGUACACACCUGUAAAUCCAAACCAUGUAGGUUAUUCCCAAGGUGAUACCUCAAAGGAAUACUUUCAAGUUCUGUAUACAGGAAUGGCAUGAUGGAAAGUCUUAUGUGGACUAAGACUACUGUACUAACAUCGUGAUUUGUACAGUGUCAGAAUUCAGGAAAUUUAUCUGACUUCAACGAUGGAAAGAGCUGGCUAACUUCUAUUUCACAAUGCCUGAUUUAGAAUGCAGAUGUUUCCACCUCUGAUGUUCAGUGGUCUGGGUAAACAUCUUAAUGAGACCCAGCUGUACAAGCUCAACUCAGCUGGCCUUUAAACAGUUAACAGCACCUGCUGCCCUUGGUGAUGAAACCCCACAGGAAAUGAAUACCAAAGUCCAAAGAUCGAAGUCAUUGUAUUCCUCUUUGGUGCAUUUAAUCUUCAUAAAAAUGAAGUGAAUUUAUAGAAGGCACUUUCUGUAUUUCCAGCACGAAAGAAGAGAUAAAUCUGGUAUCCUUGAACCUGCACCACAACCUCAGUGUGUCAAAGAACUACACUUCCCAGAAUCACUGGAUAUUACUCUCUAGUUAUCAUUUUUCUUCUUUUCUUUUGUAUAUAUAUUUGUUUAGGAAAGAAUAUUAUACUGUCAAAGGAGUCUUGUCUAUUCAUUAAAAUUUCUGUGUUCCAA